rnacentral:misc_RNA from 1 species
GAUGAAGAACGCAGCGAAAUGCGAUAAGUAGUGUGAAUUGCAGAAUCCAGUGAAUCAUCGAAUCUUUGAACGCACAUUGCGCCCGCCAGCAUUCUGGCGGGCAUGCCUGUUCGAGCGUCAUUUCAACCCUCGACCUCCCUUUGGGGAAGUCGGCGUUGGGGACCGGCAGCACACCGCCGGCCCUGAAAUGGAGUGGCGGCCCGUCCGCGGCGACCUCUGCGUAGUAAUCCAACUCGCACCGGAACCCCGACGCGGCCACGCCGUAAAACACCCAACUUCUGAACGUUGACCUCGAAUCAGGUAGGACUACCCGCUGAACUUAAGCAUAUCAAUAAGCGGAGGA